GCAUGAAGCCGGAAUCGCUAGUAAUCGCGGAUCAGAAUGCCGCGGUGAAUACGUUCCCGGGUCUUGUACACACCGCCCGUCACACCAUGGGAGUCGGGAAUGCCCGAAGUCAGUGGCCCAACCGGAAGGGGGGAGCUGCCGAAGGCAGGCCCGGUGACUGGGGUGAAGUCGUAACAAGGUAAC
rnacentral:rRNA from 1 species